CUCAAAUUAAUGUGCGCAUCUAUUAGGUAAUAUGACAGAACUGAUAGCAGCUGUAUUUUUUUCUGUAUCUUAAAGUCUUCAAGCAUACUCCACUGACACAUUUCAUCAAUACAGCAAAGGCAUUGAUCAAUCUACAUUGGAGAGAUUCAGCAUUUCCUAUGAUACAACAGCCAAUUCAUCUUUUGGAGAAGAUCUGAUCUAUGGAGGAGCUAGUCAACUCCCUAGAG